rnacentral:rRNA from 1 species
AUUGAACGCUGGCGGCAUGCCUUGCACAUGCAAGUCGAACGGUAACAGGUUAAGCUGACGAGUGGCGAACGGGUGAGUAAUGUAUCGGAACGUGCCCAGUCGUGGGGGAUAACUGCUCGAAAGAGCAGCUAAUACCGCAUACGACCUGAGGGUGAAAGCGGGGGAUCGCAAGACCUCGCGCGAUUGGAGCGGCCGAUAUCAGAUUAGGUAGUUGGUGAGGUAAAGGCUCACCAAGCCGACGAUCUGUAGCUGGUCUGAGAGGACGACCAGCCACACUGGGACUGAGACACGGCCCAGACUCCUACGGGAGGCAGCAGUGGGGAAUUUUGGACAAUGGGCGCAAGCCUGAUCCAGCCAUGCCGCGUGCGGGAAGAAGGCCUUCGGGUUGUAAACCGCUUUUGUCAGGGAAGAAAAGGUUCUGGCUAAUACCUGGGACUCAUGACGGUACCUGAAGAAUAAGCACCGGCUAACUACGUG